UAACAAGGUCUCCGUAGGUGAACCUGCGGAGGGAUCAUUACACAACAAAAUAUGAAGGCCUGGCUUUCGCGGCCGGCUGAAGUAUUUUUUUCACCCAUGUCUUUUGCGCACUUGUUGUUUCCUGGGCGGGUUCGCCCGCCACCAGGACCAAACCAUAAACCUUUUUUUCUUAUGCAGUUUCCAUCAGCGUCAGUAAAAACAAUGUAAUUAUUACAACUUUCAACAACGGAUCUCUUGGUUCUGGCAUCGAUGAAGAACGCAGCGAAAUGCGAUACGUAGUGUGAAUUGCAGAAUUCAGUGAAUCAUCGAAUCUUUGAACGCACAUUGCGCCCUUUGGUAUUCCAAAGGGCAUGCCUGUUCGAGCGUCAUUUGUACCUUCAAGCUUUGCUUGGUGUUGGGCGUUUUUUUGUCUCCCUCUUUCUGGGAGACUCGCCUUAAAACGAUUGGCAGCCGGCCUACUGGUUUCGGAGCGCAGCACAUUUUUUGCGCUUUGUAUCAGGAGAAAAGGACGGUACUCCAUCAAGACUCUACAUUUUUCACUUUUGACCUCGGAUCAGGUAGGGAUACCCGCUGAACUUAAGCAUAUC
rnacentral:rRNA from 1 species